rnacentral:pre_miRNA from 12 species
UAGGGGGGCCACCCAUCCCAGUUUGCCUGGGACUGAGGGGUUUCCUGGGAUGCUAAUACUGGGGCAAUCCCAGGCAAACCAGGAUAGUUGGUCACCCUAUCGAGAG